CAAGCGUUGUCCGGAUUUAUUGGGUUUAAAGGGUGCGUAGGCGGAUGUUUAAGUCAGUGGUGAAAGCCGGCAGCUCAACUGUCGAACUGCCAUUGAUACUGAAUAUCUUGAGUAUAGUUGAGGUAGGCGGAAUGGAAGGUGUAGCGGUGAAAUGCAUAGAUACCUUCUAGAACCCCGAUUGCGUAGGCAGCUGACUAGGCUACACCUGACACUGAGGCACGAAAGCGUGGGGAGCAAAC
rnacentral:rRNA from 16 species